UUUUGUUUGCCAAACCAAGGCAAAAACAUCUCAUCAACUCCUCAUCCCCUCCCUUUGACUGCAUCCAAUCGGGCCCUAAGGGUUAGCCCGGUAAUAAAGACUCGAGAGUUAUUAACGGUUUGCUUCCUUUUAAAAUCUCACGUUCGGAAUCACUUAGGUGCUAUCAACUACUUUGAGAUUAGUCUAUACAAAUCUUUGCUUGAUCUGACUUUAAAUGGGGCUUCCGCUAAUAGACGGUGGGUUUGGUUCCCAAGAUUAGUUAAAGUGAGGGAAACUGGCCCGGACACUUGGUUUUAAAAAAAAAAAAAUGCACUUAUCUCCCAUUAUGGGCUUUAGACCAUGAAACUGUUCUCAGUAGCCCAGAUGAUGCCCAAACUCGACAAAAACAAAAAUCUAGCCCAAACUCUCUUGACUGACUUCUGAAGCCGAAGCCUUUGGAUCAUAAAUCUAUGGAGGUUAUGAUGGAAAAACCACCCACCAAGGGGUGGCUUACUCCCAAGUGGCCCAAGGUUUCGAGUCGUGUGAUCGAUGACCCCUUGAAUUUUGCUCUUCUAUGAAACCUGUGUUCCACUAACUAUUGGUGGGACGGUAGGAUGGCUUUUUGGUCCUUUAUAGGGACAGCCGUGGAUCUGCAAUUUCUAUGCUCACGUACAUAGAAAGGUUGCUAUGGUCUCUACC